rnacentral:rRNA from 1 species
CCUACGGGUGGCAGCAGUGAGGAAUAUUGGUCAAUGGACGAGAGUCUGAACCAGCCAAGUAGCGUGAAGGAUGACUGCCCUAUGGGUUGUAAACUUCUUUUAUAUGGGAAUAAAACAGGGUAUGCAUACCCUCUUGUAUGUACCAUAUGAAUAAGGAUCGGCUAACUCCGUGCCAGCAGCCGCGGUAAUACGGAGGAUCCGAGCGUUAUCCGGAUUUAUUGGGUUUAAAGGGAGCGUAGGUGGAUUGUUAAGUCAGUUGUGAAAGUUUGCGGCUCAACCGUAAAAUUGCAGUUGAAACUGGCAGUCGUGAGUACAGUAGAGGUGGGCGGAAUUCGUGGUGUAGCGGGGAAAUGCUUAGAUAUCACGAAGAACUCCGAUUGCGAAGGCAGCUCACUGGACUGCAACUGACACUGAUGCUCGAAAGCAUGGGUAGCGAACAGGAUUAGAUACCCUGGUAGUC